rnacentral:rRNA from 1 species
GUGAGGAAUUUUGCGCAAUGGGGGAAACCCUGACGCAGCAACGCCGCGUGAGUGAUGAAGGCCUUCGGGUCGUAAAGCUCUGUCAAGUGGGAAGAAACUGCCCUAUGCAAAUACCAUAGGGUAUUGACGGUACCACUGAAGGAAGCACCGGCUAACUCCGUGCCAGCAGCCGCGGUAAUACGGGGGGUGCAAGCGUUAUUCGGAAUCAUUGGGCGUAAAGGGCGCGUAGGCGGUUGCUUAAGUCAGGUGUGAAAGCCCUCGGCUUAACCGAGGAAGUGCAUCUGAUACUAAGCAACUUGAGUAUGGGAGAGGGAAGCGGAAUUCCUGGUGUAGCGGUGAAAUGCGUAGAUAUCAGGAGGAACACCGGUGGCGAAGGCGGCUUCCUGGACCAAUACUGACGCUGAGGCGCGAAGGCGUGGGGAGCAAACAGGAUUAGAAACCCUGGUAGUCC